GGAAAAUUCCCCUGCCUCCAUCUUUGAAAGUGCAUUCCUGGAAGCGUCCUACAGAGUUUAUUUUCAAUACGGGUCUCACCGUUGUUGAAAACAAAACAGCCUUUGACCUAGUCUCCCCCAAUGAUCAUCUGAUUUGCAGCGAGCUGAUGAGGUGGAUCAUCAGUGAGAUCUACAUUGUUUG